GGAAGGAUCAUUGCACACACAAGUUGCAGCCAACCCGCGGCGAACGAACACAUUGUCCCCCUCGGCGGGUCGUGGCGCCUCGCGGCGUCGCGGCCGGCCGGCUCCCUUCGUCACGAGUGAGCUCGCGCUCCCUCGCGGCGUCGGCGGGUUCACACCACAUGGAUUCACCUUGACCGAAUGACUGAGUCCCGAAAACACUGGAUUACGAAAACUCCUCCGGGAGGGGGCUCGCUCCCUCUCGCGUGGAGUUGGAGUUGUGGUGUGGAAACAUAACCAAAACAACUCUCAGCAACGGAUAUCUUGGCUCUUGCAACGAUGAAGAACGCAGCGAAAUGCGAUACGUAGUGUGAAUUGCAGAAUUCCGCGAAUCAUCGAGUCUUUGAACGCAAGUUGCGCCCGAGGCUUGUCCGAGGGCAUUUCCGCUAGAGCGUCACCGCGCCCCCCACCCACCCCCUCCCUCCGGGAGUCGGGUGGCGUGAAAGUGGCCGUCCCGGCGUCGGGCUUCGCGGCCUGACUACGGGUCGGCUGAAAUGGAAGGAAUCGGGCCGCCGUGGUGACACAGUCCGCGAUCGGGUGAUCCGCGCUCCUUCGGGAGCCCGGAAUAUUUCUAAGUGCGUGGCUGCGUCCCCAGUUGGCUCCGGUUACCUCGUGCAGGUCGGGCGCGCCCCCCGUGAAUGGGGCGGCGCGCGUCACGUCACGCAUCAGACCUCUAAUCGGAAAAGACUACCCGCUGAGUUUAAGCAUAUCACUAAGCGGAGGAGAAGAAACUAACCAGGAUUUCCCUAGUAACGGCGAGCGAACCGGAAAGAGCCCAGCUUGAAAAUCGUGGUGCCUCGCAUCUCGAAUUGUAGUCUGGAGAAGGUCCCUCUGCGACGCGCCGGACCCAAGUUCCCUGGAAAGGGACGUCAUCGAGGGUGACAACCCCGUCCGCGCCCGGAACGCGUCGCUCCACGAGGACCUGUCUGCGAGUCGGGCUGUUUGGGAAUGCAGCCCUAAGCGGGAGGUAAAUUCCUUCCAAGGCUAAAUAUGGGCAAGAGACCGAUAGCGAACAAGUACCGCGAGGGAAAGAUGAAAAGGACUUUGAAAAGAGAGUUAAAAAGUGCUUGAAAUUGCUGGGAGGGAAGCGAAUGGAAGCUGCGGGUGCGCCCCGGUUGGAUGUGGAACGGCUUCGGCUGGUCCGCCGCUCAACGCGGGGCGCUGGUCAGCGUGGGCCACGGCGCCGGGACAAGAGCGGGGAUUCGCUUCCCGCCUAUGCCGGUGCGGUGGCCGAGGCACGAAGCGCGCGCCGCAAGGCGUGGGUUCGCCCAACUGCGCGCUCGGGACGCUGGCGUAUUGAGCUCUUCAUCCGACCCGUCUUGAAACACGGACCAAGGAGUCUAACAUGUAUGCGAGCCGGUGGGCGGCAAACCCAUUGAGGCGCAAGUAAACUGACAGGUGGGACCCCGACCGUGAGGGAGGGAGCACCAUCGACCGACCGUGAUCUUCUGUGAAAGGUUUGAGUGUGAGCAUACCUGUUGGGACCCGAAAGAUGGUGAACUAUGCCUGAGCAGGGCGAAGCCAGAGGAAACUCUGGUGGAGGCUCGUAGCGAUACUGACGUGCAAAUCGUUCGUCAGACUUGGGUAUAGGGGCGAAAGACUAAUCGAACCAUCUAGUAGCUGGUUCCCUC
rnacentral:misc_RNA from 1 species